AGAGUUUGAUCCUGGCUCAGAAUCAACGCUGGCGGCGUGCCUAACACAUGCAAGUCGAACGCGAAAGCCCCGCAAGGGGUAAGUAGAGUGGCAAACGGGUGAGUAACACGUGGGUGACCUGCCUUCGAGUGGGGGAUAACGUCCCGAAAGGGACGCUAAUACCGCAUGACAUCCUGCUUUUGAAAAAGCGGAGAUCAAAGCUGGGGAUCGUAAGACCUAGCGCUUGAAGAGGGGCCCGCGCCUGAUUAGCUAGUUGGUGAGGUAACGGCUCACCAAGGCGACGAUCAGUAUCCGGCCUGAGAGGGCGGACGGACACACUGGGACUGAGACACGGCCCAGACUCCUACGGGAGGCAGCAGUGGGGAAUUGUUCGCAAUGGGCGCAAGCCUGACGACGCAACGCCGCGUGGAGGACGAAGAUCUUCGGGUCGUAAACUCCUGUCGAGCGGGACGAACGCUUCGCGGAUGAAUAAUCCGCGGAAUUGACGUACCGUAAAGG
rnacentral:rRNA from 1 species